CUAACACGUGUAUCUAGACCAUUUUUAGGCCAAAAACUUUGAUUUUGUUAGGGUUAUGAAUCUUGGAUGCAAAGAUGGAGACAACUACAUCUUCGAAGAGACCUUGUGCAACCUUUAUGUCUAUUAAAUGAACAUCACUAUUGGAAAUCACACAAAUUUACUCAUGUUUCCACACGUGAAAGAUGGCAAGAGACUUGGCAGUGGUUCAUUUUCAACAUCGAAGUGGUUAUCUCACAUUAGAGGAGUUGAAUUUCAAGGUUAUAGUUUAAACUUUAUAUAUUUAUGUUGAUGUAUUCUAAUUUAUUUUAUCAUUAGAUUAUAUUCUUGAUAUUCUUAUGAAAUUAAUUUCAUUUUUGUUAUACGUACAACUACUGCAACAUCAACCAUAUGCAAACUGGUCAUCAAGUUCCAAAAUAUUGUUUUACUAUGUUUAUUAAUAGAUUUGGAUGGAAAUAUAUAUUUAUUUAAA